ACAAAUUAUUAUUUUGUACAAUAUAUUUCUGCAAUUAGCAUGUGACAUCCAUGAUUGUAAUUUUUGGGGGGGGAUCCUGCUUUCAUUAUUUAACAAAUGCUUCAGACAUAUUGAGAUCUAUUGUGUAUGUUGUGCAUAUUACCUGAGGUCGGAGAAACUAUCGCUGGAUUAUCAAAAACCCUCGAAUAGCAGGAAACUAUCUAAAAAAUAAAUACAGAAAUAUUAUUUGGAAUCAUGGUAUACCCAGCUAGUUGUAAUGUAUAGAUGAAAAAUAACAAAAACAAAAAACAAACAGCUUGAAAAUCUAUUCCAUGAAAAUUUAUUGUUUACAAAAGGACCCUCAGUAGUAAUUGUAGAGAAAUGCAAGUAUAUAUUAUUCAAAGCCUUCAUUUUGUCCACUGAGCCGCGACGAAAGUACACAUUUUAAUGACAACCUGAAGUGGUCUUAUUUAUAUCUACAGGCAUUUAUAAUUAUUAACUUUCUGAAUGUUGGUCGAGUCUUUCUAUUCUUAUUUUUUCACCAUAUGCAAAACUUGAAAAUUAAAGGUGUCAGAUCUAGAUCAGAGGCAUUCGGUAUCAUACAAUUAACAAUUAAUG